rnacentral:snoRNA from 2 species
GAUUGGCAUGACUGAUGAAUCAAUUAGAUGCACGAAGUGACCUUAUGAGCUGAAACCCUGAGGCCUAUUUUUUCUCUGAUUUGCCAAUU